rnacentral:rRNA from 1 species
GUCAGGCGGGGCCACCCGC